UACGUAGGGUGCAAGCGUUGUCCGGAAUUAUUGGGCGUAAAGAGCUCGUAGGCGGUCCGUCACGUCGGCUGUGAAAACCCGGGGCUCAACUCCGGGCCUGCAGUCGAUACGGGCGGACUAGAGUACUGCAGGGGAGACUGGAAUUCCUGGUGUAGCGGUGAAAUGCGUAGAGAUCGGAAAGAACACCAACGGCGAAAGCACUCUGCUGGGCCGACACUGACACUGAGAGACGAAAGCUAGGGGAGCGAAUGGG
rnacentral:rRNA from 1 species